UACAGAGGGUGCAAGCGUUAAUCGGAAUUACUGGGCGUAAAGCGCGCGUAGGCGGCUGCCUAAGUCGGAUGUGAAAUCCCCGGGCUUAACCUGGGAACUGCAUUCGAUACUGGGCGGCUAGAGUAUGAGAGAGGGAGGUAGAAUUCCACGUGUAGCGGUGAAAUGCGUAGAUAUGUGGAGGAAUACCGGUGGCGAAGGCGGCCUCCUGGCUUAAUACUGACGCUGAGGUGCGAAAGCGUGGGGAGCAAACAGG
rnacentral:rRNA from 1 species